AUUGAACGCUGGCGGCAGGCCUAACACAUGCAAGUCGAACGAGUGGCGGACGGGUGAGUAAUGUCUGGAAAACUGCCUGAUGGAGGGGGAUAACUACUGGACACUGUAGCUAAUACCGCAUACCAUCGGAUGUGCCCAGAUGGUAUUAGCUAGGAGGGGGGGUAAAGGCUCACCUAGGCGACGAUCUCUAGCUGGUCUGAGGGGAGGACCAGCCACACUGGAACUGAGACACGGUCCAGACUCCUACGGGAGGCAGCAGUGGGGAAUAUUGGACAAUGGGCGAAAGCCUGAUGCAGCCAUGCCGCGUGUAGGAAGAAGGCCUUCGGGUUGUAAAGUACUUUCAGCCGGGAGGCGUUACCGACAGAAGAAGCACCGGCUAACUCCGUGCCAGCAGCCGCGGUAAUAC
rnacentral:rRNA from 1 species